rnacentral:lncRNA from 1 species
AAGUGGACAAGGCAGUUGCAGAGAGAAUUGCAGGCGGAGACCAGAGCAAGCUCGAGCUGCUGCCUGGACAACGAAGAACAUCAACGUUGUGAUUUUGUCUUUAGCUGGGCUCGACUUCAGAAUAGCCAGAGGCCGGUCACGAGGUGCCCGAUGUGUUGGUGUUUUGAUCACUGUGAGUGAAUAAGCUGAGGGAAGUGGGGAAACACAGACGUGAAGGAGCCUGGUGCAGAAAUAACCUGUUCUGCCAAUGCAAGCAGCACUUUGGAAGAAAAACGAACAGUACAGAACAUGGUUAACCUUGGUCGUGAAUGAAAUGUCUGGAGCUGAAAUCCAUCACUGUUAGAGUUCUGCGAGUGGAAAGAUACCUGGAGAGAUCUGCAUGAAUGAUAGAACUCAGUUGCAGCAGCUGGAAUGUAUGUGAGCCUUGAUGAAUUUGAGUGCCUGUCGCCCUUUGCCCCCCCGUGCCCUUCCAAACACUGCUGUAAGUGCACUGUCCUGGAAUGGUGCAGCCACAGCAUCUUUGUUCUUUGUACCUCCUUUCUUUUCCCCUGCCUCAAGACAUAAAUUAUGUGCCUGCCUUUGUAAGGGCUCUGCUGACCUGGCUGCUUCCUGGCUGCGAUCUCCUGGCUGUCUUUGCUCUGCAGAGUUGUUCUUUUUUACGCUUUUAAAACAACUUCUCAUGAAGUACGCUCACACUUUCACCUCUGCUGCCCUUUGUACAAGGGAGGCAUCCUCUAACAGCCCCAUCCCUUCUGCUCAUUCUCAGAUCUCUGCUUAGAAAUCUCAUCUCCUGUUGUGCCUGCUCACUUCCAGAGCGGGUCCUGUAGCCCAUCACCUAACAAUACUCACAGGCAAACACGUUGGACUGUUUCUCAGGACUGACCAGAUGCUCUGCUUUGUGUCUCUGUUCUUACUGCCUACAGG